rnacentral:sRNA from 1 species
UUCAACACGCUGAUGGCAGUCACAGGGGGCCUAUGUCACAGUGCCAUCUCCAGACUCAAGGACUCCCAUGCCCACCUGAGCCCUGACAGCACCAAGGCCCUCCUGGAGCUCACUGAGCUCCUUGCCUCCCACAACAACUACGCCCGCUACCGCCGCACCUGGGCUGGCUGUGCGGGCUUCCGGCUGCCUGUACUGGGCGUGCACCUCAAGGACCUGGUGUCCCUGCAUGAGGCACAGCCCGACAGGUUGCCUGACGGCCGCCUGCACCUACCCAAGCUGAACAACCUCUACCUGCGGCUGCAGGAGCUGGUGGCCCUCCAAGGGCAGCAUCCACCCUGCAGCGCCAAUGAGGACCUGCUGCACCUGCUCACGCUCUCCCUGGACCUCUUCUACACGGAAGACGAGAUCUAUGAGCUUUCUUAUGCCCGGGAGCCGCGUUGUCCCAAGAGUCUGCCACCCUCCCCCUUCAACGCACCUCUGGUGGUGGAAUGGGCCCCUGGUGUGACACCCAAGCCGGACAGGAUCACGCUGGGUCGGCAUGUGGAGCAGCUGGUGGAGGUAAGGAGGGGCCGCCGGCAGCCAGGAGGGAAGACAUCUGUAGAACCCUGAGCCUGGAGGUGGGGACUUAUAUGGCCAUGGGGAUCAUAUUUCGACAACUGGGCCUUAUCUGCUUCCCCACACUUCUCUGAAGUCUGUGUUCAAGAAUUAUGACCCUGAAGGCCGAGGAACAAUCUCUCAGGAGGACUUUGAGCGACUCUCGGGCAAUUUUCCCUUCGCCUGCCAUGGGCUUCACCCACCCCCACGCCAGGGGAGAGGCUCCUUCAGCAGAGAGGAGCUGACAGGGUACCUGCUCCGGGCCAGCGCCAUCUGCUCCAAGCUGGGCCUCGCCUUCCUGCACACCUUCCAUGAGGUCACCUUCCGAAAGCCUACCUUCUGCGACAGCUGCAGUGGCUUCCUCUGGGGUGUCACCAAGCAAGGCUACCGCUGUCGGGAGUGCGGGCUGUGUUGCCACAAACACUGCAGAGAGCAACUGAAGGUAGAAUGUAAGAAGAGGCCAGGGGCCAAGGGCGAUGCAGGACCCCCCGGAGCUCCUGUCCCAUCCACACCAGCUCCCCAUGCCAGCUGUGGCUCCGAGGAAAAUCUCUCCUACACGCUAUCCCUGGAACCUGAGACUGGGUGCCAGCUUCGCCAUGCCUGGACCCAGACUGAAUCCCCACACCCUUCCUGGGAAACAGAUACGGUCCCCUGCCCAGUGAUGGACCCACCAUCAACUGCAUCCUCGAAGCUGGAUUCCUAGACAUCUCUUGGUCUCCUCUCUUCCUCACUCCCUUCCCCCAGUCAGUCCUGAGUCCUGUCGUCAGACUCUGGCAGGGCUCCCAGAGGUAGGCCCCCAGAGGCAUCCGCCUUCCCAUCCACACUGCCUUUGGUGGUACGUCCAUCAUCUUUUUCCCUGGAAGUGACUUCCCUCUUUUGCAUCCUGGUGGAUGCUACUCCUGCUCCCUUCCCCUGCACUUAGUAUCUGUGCAGCUCUGUGUUGGAUACAUUUAGACUCAGGCCUCAUUUUACCAACUCCCUAAAUCUCCAUUUCUUUUUUUUUUUUUUUUUUUUUUUUGAGACAGUCUCGCUCUGUCACCCAGGCUGGAAUGCAAUGAUGCAAUCUCAGCUCACUGCAACCUCCGCCUCCCGGGUUCAAGUGAUUCUUCUGUCUCAGCCUCCCAAGUAGCUUGGAUUACAGGCACGCGCCACCAUGCCUGGCUAAUUUUUGUAUUUUUAGUAGAGACGGGGUUUCCCCACAUUGGCCAAGAUGGUCUCGAACUCCUGACCUCAUGAUCCACCAGCCUCGGCCUCCCAAAGUGCUGGGAUUACAGGUGUGAGCCACCAUGCCCAGCUCCUGCUUUUUUCUGCAUAGAACGUUCUCCCUCUGACAGCCUAUACUUUUUCCCUCUUUAUCUCGUUGAAUGUCUGUCUUUCCUCAACAGGAACAUCAACUCCAGGAGAACAGGGAUUUCUAUCAGUGUCAUUUACUGCUGCAUCCCCAGUGCCUAGAACAGGGCUGGCAGGUGGUAGGCGCCUGACAGAUGCUUGUCUGAUGCCUGAAUGUCUCCUUACCCACGCCCACGGCGCAGGAUAGAUGUGCUGUAGGGCAAAGAACUUUGAGGGUCGAGCAGCAGGGGCCCAUUCAGUCCCAGGGAGCAGAGACCCCCCCACCCCUUCACAAACCCCAACACCCCUGACUUGGCCCCCACAGAGAGAGGUCCUAUAGCUGUCAUAAAUUAAAUUUAUUCUCUGGAG